GUUUUAUAGGCGAACCAAUUUGGUGAAAUGGUGAGUUUGAAAGGUGGAAAAGAGUCAAAUUUACAUAGAGGUGAAUGGACAAGAAGAAGCAUCGAGAUGCAUGUGAAAGACGAUGGAAGAAAGAAGGAAGAAAACAAACUAAAAAAACUUGCCACAGUUCCUAGGCGCCACAAAGGGAGUAGAAACUCAGCGCCUAGGCGCCACAAAGCAGCGCCCAGGCGCUGCACACGCUGAAACGAGACAGAAACGCAACGCCUAGGCACCACUUUUGUAGCGCCCAGGCGCUGCAUGCCGAGAAAGGAAAAACGCUAUUUUUCCAAAUAUUUUCGACCCAGCCCAAUUCCAACUCGUAAUGCAAAUUAAGGGGAAUAUAAAUACAUAUUUACAGACCUAAGAAAGGGGGUUGGAUGGCUGAAGAAGGGAGGCAAAGAGAUACACUAAUUGAGAGAAGAAUCACUGAAUUUGGAGAAGGAAUCAAACUGCAAACUGAGUUUUUCUUAUCUUUCUCUUCUCCAUGCGAUUUAAUUUGUAUUUUAUUGUGUUCUUCUUCUCAAUCAUGAACUAAGUUAUUAAAUCUAGGGUUUGAUGUAACCUAUUUGAGACAUGACUCAAUUUCUUUAUAAUAUUUCCAUUUAAUUUUCCAGAAUUGAUUUGUGUUAUUUUUGCUUAAUGCUUUCAGUUGCUUGAUCACCAAUUGAAUGAAUUGAUGCUCUAAAUUUAAUACUCGAGAGAGGGAAAUUUAGGCAUGAUCUAAGAACAAUAUAACCUAGAUUUGUAGGUUUCGAGAGAAAGUGCGAUUCUUUGAGGGUAAAACAAGAACCAAGUGCGUGACAAUCUUUAUAAAUUUAACUCGGAAUAGAGAUGUUGGGGUUGAAAUAUAGAGAUAGGUUCUAUUUGAAGCUCGAGAGGAAGAAAUAGAAUUAAUUUAAGAUUCUUGCCUAUGAAUUCGGAAAAUGAUUAAUGGAAAUAUCUAUAGGGAUUGAGAAUUAUGUUGAGAAUACGGUGAAAUCACUCCCUAGACAUUACGUAAUUUUGAUUUAAUCUUUAGAAAUUGCCUCACUUUUAUUGUAUUAUUUAAUUCAUUGACAUUAGUUUAGUAUUCAAACAUCAAUUUAACACCCAAUUGUCUAGAUAAAUUAAACGCGGACACAAUUAUAGUACUCAAUGGAAGUCGAAUAUCAAUUCCUGUGGAUUUGACACUUUUCAAUUCUUUAAUAUAUUACAAAACUUGACACCGUGCGCUUGCGGUAUAAAAUCAAGUUACAUAAAAUGCGUGGCAAGUUUUUGGCGCCGUUAUCGGGGAUUGAUUCAUUCAAAUUCAAUUGAUAUUAUUAUCAAUCGGCGUUCAUUUUACUUUAGAUUUUUAUUUCUAUCGUAAUUUUUAAUUUAAAUUUAUUCUUUUUGUGUCUAUCUUUAAAAGCUUCCUUGUGGUUAUUUUCAGUUGUUUAUGCGAAGGACGAGAAAUCUAGAUCUACUACCUGUUGAUCUUGAACUAGAAUGCACCUUUCGCAUUCUCAGAGGCAUACAAAGAAACGAACGGGAAGCAAUGGCAGAACAGGAUGCUAGAGCAGCCAAUGAGGAUAACCAACAAAUAGCUAUUCGGGACUACAUAAGGCCGGUGGUCAAUGACAACUAUUCCGGCAUCGCACGCCCAGCAAUUGCUGCAAACAAUUUCGAAUCGAAGCCAGGGUUGAUACAUAUGGUGCAGCAAAAUUAGUUUGGGGGUGCUGCAAUAGAGGAUCCAAAUGCUCAUCUUGGAUCCUUUUUGAAAAUUUGUGACACGGUGAAGAUGAAUGGGGUUACUGAAGAUGCAAUUAGACUCCGCCUAUUCUUAUUCUCUUUAAGGGAUAAAGCAAAGACUUGGUUCGAAUCACUACCGUAUGACUCAAUUACAACUUGGGAUGAUUUGGCUCAGAAAUUCCUCACCAAGUACUUUCCACCUUCUAAAUCAGCUCAACUUCGUGGUGAAAUUAGCCAAUUCAAACAACUCGACUUCGAGCCAUUCUAUGAAGCCUGUGAAAGAUUUAAAGACUUGCUUAGGAGCUGUCCUCAACAUGGGUUCCAGAAAUGGGUGCAAAUUGAGAUAUUUUAUAAUGGGCUAAAUGGGCAGACAAGGACUAUGGUAGAUGCAGCUGCGGGAGGCAUUUUAAUGGCUAAAACAACAGAGGCUACAUAUGCUUUAUUGGAUGACAGCCACCAACAGUUACCAAUGGCCAAGUGAGAGAUCAGGUGUAAAGAAAGUAGCAGGACUUCAUGAAGUAGAUCCCAUCACUACACUAGCAGCUCAGGUUGCAUCACUCACAAAUCAGAUAGUCAUGCUUACCACUCAAGGAAAUCAACAGAAGGUAGAUUCAGUCAUGAGUACUUCUUCUUCACACCAAGAGACAGAGGUUGCAAACGAGCAGGCCCAAUAUGUCAACAGUAGAAACUACAAUCAAAGAGGAAGCUACCAAGCUAAUCACUAUCAUCCAGGGCUGAGGAAUCACGAGAACUUGUCAUAUGGCAACAAUAGAAACACACUUCAACCUCCACCUGGAUUCAACACUUAGAAUUUUGAUGGGAAACCACCCUUGGAAGACAUCUUUGGGACGUUCAUUUCUGAGACAAGAUCACGCUUCAACAAAGAUGAAUCACGGUUGGAUAAUAUUGAAACACAUGUGUCCAACAUGGGAGCCACAAUGAAGAAUCUUGAAGUGCAAAUUGGCCAAUUGGCUACCUCAAUGAAAUCUCAGUAAAAAGGAAAAUUUCCAAGUGAUACAGAGGUCAAUCUAAAUGAGCACGGUAAAGUUGUGUAUUAAGGAGUGACAAGCAAGUUGGAGAAAGUGAACUCACUGAAGAUAGCAACCCCACAUCUGAUAAGGAGAAAGAACAAGUAGUAGAAGAGUAAGAAAAGCAGGUCAAAGGAACAAAUAAGGCCCACAGACCUUACUCCAUAUCCUUCCCUGACAAUCCACCAAUUCUCACAUCACCACUUCCAUUUCCACAGUGUUUUCAAAAGAAAAAAUUUGAUAAUCAAUUUGCAAAUUUUUUAUAAAUUUUCAAGAAAAUUCACAUUAAUAUUCCUUUUGCAGAUGUUUUGGAACAAAUGCCAAAUUACGCAAAAUUUAUGAAGGAAGUGAUGUGAAAGAAGCAAAAAUUGGAGGAAUAUGAAACAGUAAAAUUGACAGAAGAAUGCAGCUAUAUUCUUCAAAAGAAACUUCCUCAGAAGAGAAAAGAUCCGGGCAACUUCACUAUUCCAUGCACCAUUGGAAGCUCCUCCUUUGAAAAGGCCCUCUGUGAUCUAGGAGCAAGCAUCAACCUAAUGCCGUUAUCAGUAUUCAAGAAGUUAGGCAUCGGGGAGGUCAAGCCAACAACAGUGACUCUACAACUAGCUGAUAGGUCUCUCACCUAUCCACGAGGGAUUAUUGAAGACGUGUUAGUAAAGGUCGACAAAUUCAUCUUCCCAGCUGAUUUUGUGGUAUUAGAUAUGGAAGAAGAUCAGGAAAUCCCACUGAUUUUAGACAGGCCAUUCUUAGCAACUGGAAGGGCAUUAAUUGAUGUACAAGGGGGACAAUUGACAUUGAGAGUGAAUGAAGAAGAGGUGAGGUUCAACAUUUACCAAGUAAUGAAGUACUCAGAUGACAAUGACACUUGCCACAAGAUUGACUUCAUUGAUUCUGCUGUGAGAGAUGAGAAAUUAUGUAUUGAAGAUCCUCUAGAGCAAUGUAUGAUGUUUAGUACAACAAAGGAUGAUAUUAGCACUUUUGGAGAGUACAUCGGGAGCAAGGAUUUGGUUGAUUACAUAUUGGCACUUGAGUCUAUAUCAGUUGUGGAAAACCCAUCACAAUGUGAGGAUAUUCAACAGUCAGAGGAAGCAGAUGACAAAGAAAGCAGUAAGAUUAAAUUGAAGCAAUUACCAGAUCACCUUUGCUAUGCAUUUCUGGGGGACAAUUCUGCAUUUUCAGUAAUUAUUUCUUCAUCACUCACCAGAGACAAAGAGGAUAGAUUAUUGAAAGUGUUAAGGGAUCAUAAGGCCGCUUUGGGAUGGUCGAUAGCUGACAUCAAGGGGAUAAGUCCUACAAUCUGCAUGCAUAAAAUCCUCAUGGAAGAGUCUUAUAAGUCAUCCAUCAAACAUCAAAGAAGGUUAAACCCAGCAAUGAAAGAAGUGGUUCGAGCGGAGAUUCUAAAGCUAUUGAAGGCAGGAAUCAUUUUUGCCAUUUCAGACAGUGAAUGGGUCAGCCCAGUGCAAGUGGUACCAAAGAAAGGAGGGAUGACAGUAGUUAAGAACGACAACAAUGAGCUAAUUCCAACAAGAACAAUAACUGGCUGGAGGGUGUGCAUUGAUUAUAGGAAACUGAACUAGGCAACUAGAAAGGACCAUUUCGCACUGCCGUUCAUAGAUCAAAUGUUGGACAGAUUAGCUGGCUACUCUUACUAUUGCUUUCUUGAUGGAUAUUCGAGCUACAACCAGAUUGCUAUAGCACCAGAAGAUCAGGAAAAGACAACCUUCACCUGUCCCUAUGGAACUUUUGCCUACAGACGGAUGCCAUUCGGGUUAUGCAAUGCACCGGCCACUUUUUAGAGAUGCAUGAUGACAAUCUUUGCAGACAUGGUUGAAGACAUCAUGGAGGUAUUUAUGGAUGACUUCUCGGUGUUUGGUACUUCUUUUGAUAACUGCCUUCACAAUCUCUCCUAAGUGCUGUAACGCUGUGAGGAAAGGAAUUUAGUUUUCAACUGGGAAAAGUGUCACUUCCUGGUACAAGAAGGUAUUGUGCUAGGCCAUCAUGUUUUGGCAAGGGGAUUGGAAGUGGACAGAGCAAAAAUUGAUACAAUCGCAAAGCUACUCCCACCCAUCAAUGUCAAAGGCAUUCGAAGUUUCUUAGGGCACGCUGGAUUCUACAGGAAAUUUAUCAAAAACUUCUCAAAAGUGGCAAAACCCCUAUGUAACCUUUUGGAGAAGGACACAACGUUCGUAUUUGAUGAAGACUGCUUACAGGCUUUUGAAACCAUAAAGGCAAAAUUAGUCACCGCCCCAGUGAUGGUAGUACCAGAUUAGGAUCAGCCAUUUGAGGUUAUGUGUGAUGCUAGUGACUACGCAGUAGGGGCAGUUUUGGGACAAAGGCGUGAUAAGAUUUUUCGGGGCAAUCCACUAUGCCAACAAAACUCUUAAUGGAGCUCAACUAAAUUACAGAACAACAGAGAAGGAAAUGCUAACAAUAGUGUUUGCAUGUGACAAAUUUAGAUCUUACCUCAUUGGCACCAAAGUGAUAAUUUACAUGGACCAUGCUGCAAUCCGUUAUUUCUUUCAAAAGAAGGAUGCCAAGUCACACCUAAUUCGAUGGAUACUGUUACUAUAGGAAUUUGAUAUAGAGAUUCGGGAUAAGAAAGGCAGUAAGAAUGUCGUUGCAGACCAUCUCUCACGAUUGGAGAAUGAAAAGAUGGUGGAUGACAGUCAAAUUCGAGAAACGUUCCCCGACGAGAUCUUACUAGCUGUAUCAACAAAGAUUCCAUGGUAUGCUGAUUUUGUUAACUAUUUGGUGUCUGGAAGAUUGCCACCUGACUUGACCUUUCAUCAAAAGAAGAAAUUCCUACAUGAUGUCAAGUCAUAUCUGUGGGAUGAUCCAAUCUUGUUCAAAAGGUGUGCUGAUAGAAUAAUUAGGCAAUGUGUCCCUAUGGAAGAAACGCGAUCAAUCAUGCAACAUUGCCACUCCUUACCUUAUGGAGGUCAUUUCGGUCCUACACGUACUGCCGCAAACGUAUUACAAUCUGGUUUCUAUUGGCCAAAUCUGUUCAAAGACUGCUAUGCUUUUGUGAAGACGUGACCGCUGUCAACGCACUGGAAACAUUUGAAGACAUCAUGAGCUACCAUUAACUAGUAUGCUUGAGGUGGAAUUAUUUGAUGUGUGGGGUAUUGAUUUCAUGGGUUCGUUUCCACCUUCCUUUGGUCAAGAGUAUAUUCUUCUCGCAGUAGAUUAUGUGUCUAAGUGGGUUGAAGCCAUUGCCACACCAACGAAUGAUGCAAAGGUGGUGUUGAAAUUUUUACAGAAAAAUAUCUUCACUCGGUUUGGCACGUCUAGGGCAAUCGUAAGCGACAGAGGUACACAUUUCUGUAACAAGCUGUUCAAUUCUUUUCUAGCUAAGUAUGAUGUCAAGCACAAGUUGGCACUGGGUUAUCAUCCAUAGUCAAAUGGGCAAGCAGAGGUGUCUAACAGAGAGAUUAAACAGAUUUUGGAAAAGACAAUGAAUACCAAUCGGAAGGACUAGUCUCAUAAACUAGAUGACGCUCUUUGGGCAUACCGAACAACAUUUAAAACUCCAAUUGGAAUGUCACCCUACCGUCUGGUAUUCGGGAAAGCUUGUCAUCUACCAGUAGAAUUGGAGCAUCAAGCUUAUUGGGCUGUGAAGAAAUUGAAUUUAGAUAUGAAAUUAAUCGGUCCACAACGCUUGUUGCAACUUGAUGAAUUGGAGGAAUUCCGGGACGAUGCAUAUGAAAAUGCAAAGAUAUAUAAAGAACGGACAAAGAUGUGGCAUGACAAGAGAAUACUAAGGAGGGAUUUCAAGGCAAGAGAACCGGUUCUCCUAUUCAAUUCUUGCUUGAAACUCUUUCCAGGCAAGCUCAAAUCCCUGUGGUCAGGACCAUUUGUAAUCCGUAAGAUGUUCCCUUAUGGUGUAGUGGAAUUAGUAGGCAAGGAUGGGUCUACCUUUCAGGCAAAUGGGCAAUGCCUCAAACAUUACUAUGGAAAGGAAAACUGGGAUGUGGAAGAAAUUACCCUUGAUGAACCAACUUGAAACCACAUCCAUGUCCAGCUAAAGACGUAAAAGAAGCGCUUCUUGGGAGGCAACCCAAGCUCUAUUCUUAAAUUUUCAUAAAAUUCAUUUAUUUUGAUUUUCGUUAUUUUACCCAUUUAAGUAAUUUCAUUUUCGUCUUAUUUUUAUAGGUACUUGCUCGAAUUGGAAACAUCGAACCAAGAAAGGAAGUGGGGAAGGACCACAUUGAAAGACUACAUGGAAGGUAUUAGAAAAAAAAAAAACUUUAGAAACUCAGUGCCUAGGCGUUGGACCCCCUAUCGGAGCAGAAAAACAGCGCCUAGGCACUGUUUUUUUUUUAUUUUAUAAAAAAACCUACCUUCCUCCCCUAAUUGACUUAUUUCUUUCCUUCCUUUUUCUUUUUCUUCUUCCCCCCUCUCCCAUACGAAUUGCUCCCCUUUUCUCUUUCCCCAUUUAAGUUUUCUUUUGAAACACAAUCAAUACAUUUUUCUUCCAUUUCAUACUCUUCGAUUAGUAAAGGGGCCACUUGCUUAAUCUUUGGGAUCACCAUCUUUCCACUUGUAAGUCCUCUUACCUUCAAUUUUUAUUUUUGCACUUCAACUUCAUUAUUGAUUGGGUAUAUUUGGAUUCUUGGAUUUUGGAGUUGUGGUGAUUGAAUUUCUCAUGGGAUAAAUUUAUUGCUAGGAUAGUAUGCAAAGUGUGAUGGAAUAGCCUUGCUUCCAAGGUGUUUGAUUAAAUUCCUAGGAGAGUUUUUCUUGUUGUAGUAACCUCAAGUUAAUUGCUGACUUUUGCACUUUGCUCAGAUUUGUUUAUAAUUCAAUAUGCCUCCAAAGCGGGCUCGCAACACUACCUCUUCUUCCUCUGCUUCUUUUGACAGAACCAAAUUUAUCAGUGAAGCAGCUGCGGCACGGUACAACACUUCGGUGGUGCACAAGAAUUGUAUUCAGGAAAGGGGUUUUGACAAAUAUAUGACUACACAGAUUCAAGAAAGGGGAUGACAACUAUUUGGUCAACAGCCGCAACCAGCCCUUAUUCCUCUUGUUUGGGAGUUUAAUGCUAACGCAAAGGAACAUAAAAAUUUUUGGGCAUUUGUGAGGGGCAAAUGGAUUGCUUUUGACAGAACCUCCAUCAAUCAAUUUUACAAUCUUCCGGAUGUGGAUAACAAUGGCUACUCUACGUUGCGUGAAGAAGGAGUAGAUCCCGGUGAACUAUUACGAGUGUUAGCUCGUCCAGGCACUACUUGGAAAUGGGCUGGCGACGACGUGCUACAUUUUCCUGCCACUGGGAUGAUUGUUGAACAUAAAGCGUGGCAUCAUUUCAUCUCAACCAAAUUCCUCCCGAGUAGCAACCUCAGUGAAGUCACGAAGGAGUGUGCAAUCCUCAAUUAUGCUAUUCAGUGUGAUAAGUCCAUAGAUGUUGGUCAGGUUAUUCACAAUAGCAUUUUGCAUACCCUGAAAGGUUCAACGAUUGGAGGUCUUGGGCACCCGUGUUUGAUUUAUGAAUUGUGCAGAAAGGGGGGCGUUAUAACAUUCUCAUCGGAAUAGAGUUGGUGCAUCCCAAACCACCCAUCACUAGGAGUUGGGCUUGGAAGUUCAUGAGCCGGCAGGGCUCCACCAGUACCACACCUUUGGGAGCGAAGACAAGACCAGCUCAAUCACGUAGACCCCGCUCAUCCAGUGACCCGAGCAAUGACCUCGCUGCCCAGUUACGCGGGAUGCAAUUGCAAAUGAAUACACUGCAGAAUGUCAUGUAUGAGCAGUUCCGUUACCAAAAUGAGUUUAAUGCAGUUUUGGGAUCUAUCUACUCGGAUAGGACUUUCCCUCAACCACCGCUACUUCCCGAUCGCAACUCCGACCCGCCUCACCGUGACAUUGACAAUGACGGAGACACUUGAUAUCUCCGCUCAGUUACAUCCUCUUCCUCUCUCUUUUUCUUAACAUUGGGGACAAUGUUUGGUUCAAGUUUGGAGGGUGCGGUUAACUUGUCCAGUUUAAAUUUUUUAUUUUGUGUGAACUGUGUGUGAAAUUUUCUUUUUGAAUUGUGUGUAAAUUUUUUUUAAUUUCUAAUUUGCAUGUCAAAAAAUAUAUAUUAUUAUUUCGUAUUUUUGCAUGCUUGUGUGAGUUAGAUAUCCCUGUCGGCGAUGAUAUAUAUUAUUGAGAUCAUGCGUUGAUUCUUGGAUUAUGGAUGAAUUAUGUGUUUAGGUUAAAUUUUUGAUUAAUCAUGUGAAACGGAAACUAUUUUUGCACGUGAGUUGAUUGUGGCGUUGUGCAUGAAUGGGUUGAUUUACGUUUAUAGGUUAGAUUAGAGAAUUUAGUUGCAAAACCCAAACAACCAUUAAACAUCACACUACCCUUAAACCAAAUAUAAGCGAUUUGGUAGAUUAAGUUGAUGUAGGGAAACUUGGAGAGAAAUGUGGACUUCGUGCGUGCUAAAUGUUGUAUGGAUUGUUUGAGACUGAUAGGAUGAAAAUUGGGUGAAAACCUUAAGUUAAAUGUCGAUUUUCGAGAAUUGGUGUUUAAUAAGAGGCAUUGCACUAAUUAUUGCAAAAAAAAAAAAAAUCCCAAUGAGGACAACUUUAAUAGUCUCAUUGUGAAUCGUCUCUUCGUAGCCAUUAUGAUUCGAGUGAUUAAGCCUGUAAGGGUUUAAAACCUGGUGCCCUAAAGUCAUCUGAUUUGGGGGUAAUUGGUCUAAAGCUCGCUAUAGAGGUCAUUUAAAAAGUUUAAGAGAGAGACGUCCACACAAAGAGUGAUAAAAAAAAAUGUGAAAAUCAAAUACCUUGAUUAAGCCCCGAAUGCUUGUUUUAGAGGAUUGGGCUUUUGAUAAGAGGUUGGUAAUUUGGUUGAUUCCUAGAAGUUGAUGCAGUAAAAAAUAAGGAGAGUCCUCAUUUGUUGAUAUGUUGAACUGCAAUCGGCGAAAUUGAACCAAACUUGAGCGGUGUAAGCUAUUAGUAUUGAAAAGUAAUUUUAGAAUCCACAUUGAGAAGUGAAAAGAGAACAAGUUUGGGGGUGUGUGAAUCCCACGAGCGAAGCAAGGAAAUAUUUGACUUUUAAGGUUGGGAAUUGGGUCAACUUAUUAUGGCACAGCGUUGCGCUUAACUCUCCACACACACACCCGUUUGCAUUGAAUAAGUGAGAAUUUGACUUACGCAUUAUAAUUUUGAAGUAAUUUUUGCAGUCGACGCUAUAUUUUUAAUCUUGAGCCAUGAAGGCAAGGCAUCUAAUGAAAUUUAUUUUUAAGUGAUCGUGCAUGAUUUUAAUUGUGCUUGUGUGUUUGUCAAUGAUUUUCUUUGGUUUAGUAUUUGCUUGAGGACUAGCAAAAUCUUAAAUUUGGGGGGUGUUUGAUGAGUGAAUUUCACUCAUUGAUUUAAUGUCUCUUAAGCUUGAAAUAUUUGGUUGUUUUCGAGAAAUUUAGAACGUUUUGAUGCGGGUAUUUGUGUUGUUUUAUAGGUGAACCAAUUUGGUGAAAUGGUGAGUUUGAAGGGUGGAAAAGAGUCAAAUUUACAUAGAGGUGAAUGGACAAGAAGAAGCAUCGAGAUGCACGUGAAAGAUGAUGGAAGAAAGAAGGAAGAAAAUCAGCUAAAAAAACUUACCACAGCGCCUAGGCGCCACAAAGGGAGCAGAAACUCAGCCCCUAGGCGCCACAAAGCAACGCCCAGGCGCUGUACACGCACAGAGGAAGCAGGCCACAAAGUAGCGCCAGGCGCUGCACACGUUGAAACGAAAUAGAAAUGCAGCGCCUUGGUGCCACUUUUGUAGCGCCCACGUUGCAUGCCGAGAAAGGAAAAAUGCUAUUUUUCCAAAUAUUUUCAACCCGACCCAACUCCAACUCGCAAUGCAAAUUAAGGGGAAUAUAAAUACAUAUUUACAGACCUAAGAAAGGGGGUUGGACGGCUGAAGAAGGGAGGCAAAGAGAUGCACUAAUUGAGAGAAGAAUCAUUGGAUUUGGAGAAGGAAUCAAGCUGCAAACUGAGUUUUUCUUAUCUUUCUCUUCUCCAUGCGAUUUAAUUUGUAUUUUAUUGUGUUUUUCUUCUCAAUCAUGAACUAAGUUAUUAAA
rnacentral:lncRNA from 1 species